GACGAGCGGCGGACGGGUGAGUAAUGUCUGGGAAACUGCCUGAUGGAGGGGGAUAACUACUGGAAACGGUAGCUAAUACCGCAUAACGUCGCAAGACCAAAGAGGGGGACCUUCGGGCCUCUUGCCAUCAGAUGUGCCCAGAUGGGAUUAGCUAGUAGGUGGGGUAACGGCUCACCUAGGCGACGAUCCCUAGCUGGUCUGAGAGGAUGACCAGCCACACUGGAACUGAGACACGGUCCAGACUCCUACGGGAGGCAGCAGUGGGGAAUAUUGCACAAUGGGCGCAAGCCUGAUGCAGCCAUGCCGCGUGUAUGAAGAAGGCCUUCGGGUUGUAAAGUACUUUCAGCGGGGAGGAAGGUGUUGAGGUUAAUAACCUCAGCAAUUGACGUUACCCGCAGAAGAAGCACCGGCUAACUCCGUGCCAGCAGCCGCGGUAAUACGGAGGGUGCAAGCGUUAAUCGGAAUUACUGGGCGUAAAGCGCACGCAGGCGGUCUGUCAAGUCGGAUGUGAAAUCCCCGGGCUCAACCUGGGAACUGCAUUCGAAACUGGC
rnacentral:rRNA from 1 species